CAAUGUGUUGUCAGAGAGAAACAGAACUGGACACACUUUGUUCGAUGCCACACCUGUUCGAUCAGCUCAUUAGUCACUGUAUGUAAGCCCCUGAGGUUCUCUGGCUGUUUCCCAGAUAGUCUUUGUACUCUUUGUAUUCAAACUUUUUUUUUUAUUCUUCUUUGUUGGCUCCCUUGUGCUGGUUCCCGCACUUUUGUAAGCAACUCAUUGUGUGCUUUGGGACUUUUCUGGACCAUGCUUGUAUUCUUUUUCAUGCCCUUUCCCUCUUUGUUUGUGUGUGUUUUACUGCCUUCCUCAGCUAGAGCAAUAAACUUUGGAUCAAAGACAUAAA